rnacentral:misc_RNA from 1 species
GAAGAAAUUAAUUUAUUUAAUUUCCCAAAACUGCUUUACAAAGUAAACUAAAAUUUUCAGAAAAUUAGAAAUUGCGAAACAAGAUUUCAAUGGUAAAACAAUUUUGAAAACAAGCCGUGGAAGGAUCAAUAAAAUGGACAGUUUUCUAAAAUUUACCCCAAAUCUCAAUGAAUCAUUUCCGAAAAUUAAAAGCAAAAUAAGUUCCAAAGUACUAAUUAAUUGAACAACAUCUACCUUCCAUGUUGGCUGUUCGGAGC